UACGAAGGGGGCUAGCGUUGUUCGGAUUUACUGGGCGUAAAGGGCGCGUAGGCGGUGCGAUAAGUCAGGCGUGAAAGCCCCGGGCUCAACCCGGGAAUAGCGCUUGAUACUGUUGCGCUUGAAUCCAGGAGAGGAUGGCGGAAUUCCCAGUGUAGAGGUGAAAUUCGUAGAUAUCAAGCGGAACACCGGUGGCGAAGGCGGCCUUCUGGACGAGUACUGACGCUGAGACGCGAAAGCGUGGGUAGCAAACAGG
rnacentral:rRNA from 1 species